CGGGGUGAGUAACGCGUGGGUAACCUGCCUUGUACAGGGGGAUAACAGUUGGAAACGGCUGCUAAUACCGCAUAAGCGCACGGCAUCGCAUGAUGCAGCGUGAAAAACUCCGGUGGUAUAAGAUGGACCCGCGUUGGAUUAGCUAGUUGGUGAGGUAACGGCCCACCAAGGCGACGAUCCAUAGUCGACCUGAGAGGGUGACCGGCCACAUUGGGACUGAGACACGGCCCAA
rnacentral:rRNA from 1 species